rnacentral:rRNA from 1 species
CCUACGGGGGGCAGCAGUGGGGAAUAUUGCGCAAUGGGGGGAACCCUGACGCAGCAACGCCGCGUGAAGGAAGAAGGUCUUCGGAUUGUAAACUUCUUUGAUGAGGGACGAACAAAAUGACGGUACCUCAAAAACAAGCCACGGCUAACUACGUGCCAGCAGCCGCGGUAAUACGUAGGUGGCGAGCGUUGUCCGGAAUUACUGGGUGUAAAGGGCGUGUAGGCGGGGAUGCAAGUCAGAU